rnacentral:rRNA from 1 species
GUCGAACGGAUAUAGAUUAGAGCUUGCUUUGAUCUAUAUUAGUGGCGAAAGGGUGAGUAACGCGUGGGCAACCUACCCAGUACCGGGGAAUAACAACGGGAAACCGUUGCUAAUACCGCAUAACAUCUUCUUAAGACAUCUUAGGAAGAUCAAAGGAGAAAUCCAGUACUGGAUGGGCCCGCGUCCGAUUAGCUAGUUGGUGGGGUAAAGGCCUACCAAGGCGACGAUCGGUAGCCGAACUGAGAGGUUGAUCGGCCACAUUGGGACUGAGACACGGCCCAGACUCCUACGGGAGGCAGCAGUGGGGAAUAUUGCACAAUGGACGAAAGUCUGAUGCAACAACGCCGCGUGAAGGAAGAAGGUCUUCGGAUUGUAAACUUCUUUGAUCAGGGAAGAAUAAUGACAGUACCUGAAGAACAAGCCACGGCUAACUACGUGCCAGCAGCCGCGGUAAUACGUAGGUGGCGAGCGUUGUCCGGAAUUACUGGGUGUAAAGGGCGCGUAGGCGGGAAUGCAAGUCAGAUGUGAAAUCCCAAGGCUUAACCUUGGAACUGCAUCUGAAACUGUAUUUCUUGAGUGUCGGAGAGGAAAGCGGAAUUCCCCGUGUAGCGGUGAAAUGCGUAGAUAUGGGGAGGAACACCGGUGGCGAAGGCGGCUUUCUGGACGAUAACUGACGCUGAGGCGCGAAAGCGUGGGUAGCAAACAGGAUUAGAUACCCUGGUAGAAUCACUAGUGAAUUC